CCACAGACUCCCUGCUGCAUCUCCUGCCAGCUGGAGGGACUGGAGGGGGCCCACUGGCCCCUUCUUUUCUCCCUCCCUGAUCAGGAGAAAGGAGGUAUGACUGUUCUCAUGGGGGCAUGGGACAGAUGACAAGCGGAAAGCUAUAGACCUUGAGCCACUAUCGCUUUUUGCUUUCUGGCCUUCUGUUUUUCUAUCUGUAAAAUGGGCAUGAUCACACCUGCCUGGCCUUCUUCAUGGAGUUGGUAGAGGAAAGAAGGAGAGAACAGGCCCAGAAACAUGAGCUGGGAGACAGCCCCAUAGGCACGGCAGAUAUGCCCUCUUCUCCCAUUUCCCUUUGCCACCAGGGAGUGGUGGGGGCCUGAGGAGUGGAGUCCCUGCCCCUGGGUGGAUCCUUCACCCUGCAGGGCACCCCAGCUGCCGUGCUGUCUGGCCCACAGCUUAACUGGCCCCUGCACGCCCCUCUCUGCCUAGCCUUGUAAAUUGCCUGCGCUGAAUUCUGCACACACCUCAGUGGAAGGGGAAUUAUUUGCCAGAUAUACGGUGUCUGUGAGAAGGGCCUCUUAUGAGUCAGUGUUCAAAUAUGUUACCAGCUCAAUAAACAGAGGUUUGUUGUAAAUUAAGAAAAGGAAGCGAGGUGCCUGCAACAGCCCUUGUUCAUCUACUGUUUUCUAUUAGCGACGCUUUCCCCUUAAGUAGCACAUAAUUCCCGGUAGCUGCUGGGCUGGCAGCUUGGAAGGGGGGAUGUAAUUACACUGCAGUUGUUAGGUAGUUAGAGCUACACAAUAAGGUCCAUAGAGAGAGGCAGGGACAGCCCUGGGGCGGGGGGAAGGGGUUGGCUGGGCUCCCCAACAGGAUCAGAUAAGAUCACAGUUGCCUGAUAAUCUCAGGGUGACGGGAGGAGCAGCCUGGGCACGGCAGAGGGCAGAUCUAGAAAACAAGGCUCUGACCCUCAUCACAGGAAGAGGUGGAUGGUCACCUGGAGACGGUGCUGGGCCUUUACUCUCUUCAUGGGUUCCUGGUCUUGGUAAGAAGGCAGAGUUGGAGGAGGAGGAAAAGAACCGAAAGAAGUACUCCAACUCAACCGCCCGAGAGAUCUCAUCACUCUUCUGAUACCAAAGGAAGCUUCCCCAAAGGCUUUGUCCCUUUGAGAAGCAGAAGGAAAGAACUUUUAUAGGUAAAGGGAGGGACAGGGAGAAGAGAGGAAGGAGUUCACUACUGUGUACAAUGGCCCCUCAGUGUCCCUGGAGGAAUUGGCUGGGGCGGGGGGUGCUCCAUGGAUACCAAAAUCCAUGGAUACUCAAGUCCCAAAGUCGGUCCUCCAGUAUCUGCAGAUUCAACCAACCUUGGAGUGUAAACAGUGAUACGUGAUCUGCUGCUGGUUGAACCCGUGGAUGCGGAAGCACCCUUGGACAGGGAAGCGCUAGCGGCUGUGGAAUCUAGGAUGGACAAUAUAUUUAUUGAAAAAAAAAAUUGGUGUGUAAGUGGACCUGUGAAGUUCAAACCUGUGUUGUGC
rnacentral:lncRNA from 1 species